UACGGAGGGGGCUAGCGUUGUUCGGAAUUACUGGGCGUAAAGCGCACGUAGGCGGCUUUGUAAGUUAGAGGUGAAAGCCCGGGGCUCAACUCCGGAAUUGCCUUUAAGACUGCAUCGCUAGAAUUGUGGAGAGGUAAGUUGAAUUCCGAGUGUAGAGGUGAAAUUCGUAGAUAUUCGGAAGAACACCAGUGGCGAAGGCGACUUACUGGACACAUAUUGACGCUGAGGUGCGAAAGCGUGGGGAGCAAACAGG
rnacentral:rRNA from 1 species